rnacentral:rRNA from 1 species
CCUACGGGCGGCAGCAGUGGGGAAUAUUGCACAAUGGGGGAAACCCUGAUGCAGCGACGCCGCGUGAGUGAAGAAGUAUUUCGGUACGUAAAGCUCUAUCAGCAGGGAAGAAAAAAAGUCCUUUGGACUUUGGACGGUACCUGACUAAGAAGCCCCGACUAACUACGUGACAGCGGCCGCGGUAAAACGUAGGGGGCAAGCGUUAUCCGGUUUUACUGGGUGGAAAGGGGGCGUAGGCGGCGAUGCAAGCCAGGAGUGAAAGCCCGGGGUCCAACCCCGGGACUGCGCUUGAAACUGGGUGGCUGGAGUGCAGGAGGGGCAAGCGGAAUUCCUGGUGUAGCGGUGAAAUGCGUAGAUAUCAGGAGGAACACCGGUGGCGAAGGCGGCCUGCUGGACUGCAACUGACGUUGAGGCCCGAAAGCGUGGGGAGCAAACAGGAUUAGAUACCCCUGUAGUC